rnacentral:sRNA from 1 species
UAAGCAUAUCAAUAAGA